CCACCUCGCCGCCGCAGGGUGGGAGGGGGCCGGCGUGGGCUGAUGCUCGCAGUCUCCCACCCCCGGACCACCCCCUCCAGGGUCCGGGAGCUGUGCAGCCCCAGAUCCUCUGGCUAAGGACUGGUCUGGGCGCCCCGAAAGCCCGCAGGACUGAGUUGUCAGUCUCUCGCGGAGCGGGUCGUCUAUAAGUCAGUUUCCCUGGCACCCAUCCUUCGCGCGUAAACCCGGCCGCGAGUCCCCCUUGAAGGUAGAAGUGGCUGGCAUGGAUCGCUCCCAAGGAAGCUCAGCCUCAGGCUCAGUCACCCGGGUUCUCUCCGCCCGUCCAGGGACGCCGCGAGGGAAGCGAUUGUGCGGAUCGCUCGCCACCAGCCGCUCUCCAAAUGCGUGCAGAAUGGAGGCGAAAGAGUUUGAACAAGACAGAAAAACAAGUCAGCACCACGGACAGCGUCCUGUGAGGCCUUUCAUUAAGCCAAAGCAAGCAGGGAAGAAAGGAGGAAAGGAGAAGGUGCAAGGAACCUUUCAGAAGAAAGCAGGAAGGAAGAGAGAGUGGCCUGAAUCUUGGAUGACCACACUUUCAAGCCUCUGUAAGGAAGUGCCCUCUUCGCUUCCGGGAGAGCCGCGCGU
rnacentral:lncRNA from 1 species